UGUCUUAUUAGAGUAACAGAAAAGUAACUAAGACAGAAGUAAGGAAGGGAGUGGCUUAGAUGAAGUGUUUAAGUAUCUGGAACAGACCUUAGAAUUCGCCAACACCCACACUUAUUGAAGACUCCCUUGGAUACAGUGACAAAGGAAAACAAUGGACUCUGUGGUAAAAGUAAUCAACCUAUGGCAUCUACAGAUACAGUAGCAAGAAAAGAGCUCACUGAUACAAUCGUCUGGCUCCAGAGGCCCAGAAACAGUCUAAAAGUUUCCAAGCAUGCCUUGGAUAAGAAUCUUCUCUCCAGCAGCCAGAGAGCUCAAGUUGCAGAAAAGCAAACCAAAGCUCUCAUUGUAAGACUGCUUGAACGACCACCAAAUUGAUACCCAACAGCCUUGGAGGGUAUCUGCAUUGAUUGAUUAUGUUUCUCCUGCAAGAAUGUUCAAGAAUGGGUGUCCGAAAAGGAAUUGAGGAGCUUGUCAAUGGAAGGAGAACAGAAAUGAUCCCUCUCAACUAUAAGACCACCACCAGAGGAGAGAGACCAUGGGCUUUUACACAGAUGCUGGGCAAGGGGAGCUACAAGGAAGCUCUUACACUGUCUCUGGAUGAGCCAUCCAUUUUCUGAAGAGCUCUCUGGACAGCUGGAGACAGUCUUCAAGACCCAGCCAACAGGCUGUUUCAAAAAUCCUUUCUAGUGAAAAUCUUGAAGGAAAAGGCAAAGCAAAGUGGUUAACUUUGAAUUAUCAUCUUCAUUUUUCCUGCUUCUAUGAAUGUGUUUCACAAAACAAUGAGAAUUUUAAAACAUCCCCUAGUA